GUGUGCACAUUGGCAGCACAUAUACUAAAAUUGGAAUGAUACAAAGAUCAGCAUGACCCUUGUGCAAAAAUAACAUGCAUAUUUGUGAAACGCUUCACAUAUAU
ensembl:snRNA U6 U6 spliceosomal RNA